UGCCAGCCGCCGCGGUAAUACGGAGGGUGCAAGCGUUGUUCGGAAUUACUGGGCGUAAAGCGCGCGUAGGCGGCGUACCAAGCCAGAGGUGAAAUCCCGGGGCUCAACCCCGGAACUGCCUUUGGAACUGGUAUGCUAGAGUUCGAUAGGGGGUGGUGGAAUUCCUAGUGUAGAGGUGAAAUUCGUAGAUAUUAGGAGGAACACCAGUGGCGAAGGCGGCCACCCGGAUCGAUACUGACGCUAAUGUGCGAAAGCGUGGGGAGCAAACAGGAUUAGAUA
rnacentral:rRNA from 1 species